ACAUUGGUGGUUCAGUGGUAGAAUUCUCACUUUCCACCUGGGAGACCCGGCUUCAAUUCCCGGCCAGUGCA
rnacentral:tRNA from 1 species